rnacentral:lncRNA from 1 species
CUCCGGGUGGGGGAGGCUGGGGUUCCAAACCAGGGCAGGGGAAUGGUGGCCCUGCGUGGCUCGUGGACCUCUCUCAGGGACCCCUCUCAGCAGGGGCCGGAAAAGCAGGCCCACACCCAGUGGUCAUUGCAGGAACUUCACUUGAGCUGGUCUGCUUGUGAGCCUGUGGUUUGGAGAGGAGAAGACGCACUUCCCCAUGAGAAAAAGGUGGUCAUCCCCAUGGGCUCCACAGAUGAGGACACCGGCCCUCAG